AAUCAACGGCACAGCUUUCUUGGAUCCCUCUCUCCCUUGAAGGCUAUUUUUUGGACAGGUUUUCAUGUGCAGUUGUGCAUCAUUGUUUGCCUAUGAACACAAGAGAGCCUUUGGGGAAGAAGGGAAACCAAGCAAGCCAGUGUCCAUGUUUGU